UACGUAGGGUGCAAGCGUUGUCCGGAAUUAUUGGGCGUAAAGAGCUCGUAGGCGGUCUGUCGCGUCUGCUGUGAAAAACUCGGGGCUUAACCCCGGGCCUGCAGUGGGUACGGGCAGACUAGAGUGCGGUAGGGGAGACUGGAAUUCCAGGUGUAGCGGUGAAAUGCGUAGAUAUCGGGAGGAACACCAGUGGCGAAGGCGGCGAUCUGGGAAGUUACUGACGCUGAGGUGCGAAAGCGUGGGGAGCAAACAGG
rnacentral:rRNA from 1 species